AGUCAAAGAAGUUUUGUCUGUAAUCUCACUGAACCACUACCCCAACAAUCACUCUCCUUGCUGAGGAGGGAGUUUUUCAUUUUUCUAUGUCAACCCUUAUUACAGGAUAUCUUGCAAAGACUUCCUAUGUCCAAGGAUUCCCUGAAAUCACAAUUUUUUCUGCCUAAUGGAACUAGGAGACUAUGACUAUUGUCUGUUGUUCUUAAGCAAGACCUUCAAGGCCCUUUGAAGAGGUAGCUUGAAUAUUCGUUAUAAGGAAGAAGACUUACAUAGUGUCUAAAGACCC